AGAAAAAGUAAGCCCAGACAAAGUCUACUUUACCUCCCCGGUACUGUUCAUCUUCCAGCUCCAGACAGAGCCCGAGCCAGCCGUCCCGAGAUUGUGCAGCGCCGUUUUCUCCUCCAAAUCUAGUCUCCUCUCUCGUGUUAUUUCAAAAUUAGUUGAGGGGAAAUAUUCCUCUUAUGCUUCUCUAUCUUUUUCCCCCAAGAAUCGGACUUUAUCCCGAAGAAAUCAACGCGGAAUCGAGCUCGAUUCGUGUUUAUCUCUCCACCAAACCCUAGGUUUUCCUGGCGCGAUUCCUUGCGUUCCAAGCGCGAUCUCUCUCUCCCAUGGCUAUAAAUAGAGUCCCCUCCCUCUCCUCUUUCGGCCGCCACCUCUCCCUCUCUCCGCCGUCGCUUGUAGCGCCGUCGCCGCGUUCGUCUUCUCUCUCCGCCGCCCGCAGCCGCUCCAGCCGCCGUUUGCCGCCGCCUCGGCCGUCGCCCUCCUGUGCCGCCACCUCUCUCGGCUCCGCAAGGUCAAGAGCAAGCCCGGCAGCCGGUUCCCUUGCGCCGAAGACCCCGGGAAGCCCAUCGUCGCCAUCAACCCGAAGCUCGCCGUCGUGUUUUGAUCUCCGGCGAGGCUCUGCAGCUCCUCCCGUCAUCGCCAAGCUUCGCCGCCGCCUCCAUUGGAUUCGCAGCCGCGAAGUGAAGCCCGGCCACCCCUCCAUUGUCGCCGAAGGUCGCCGAAACACCGUCGCCGCCGUGGACAGUACCUCGCUGCCAUCUCGAUCUCGUCGCCGGCCAUCUUCCGUCACUGUCUGUCAUCACGUAAGUGUUGCGCGUUGUCAUCUCCGUGUGUUGCUGUCGGAACGUUGUCAUCAUCCCUUCCUCUCCGAUCGCUUUGGUUCGGUGCGACUUCUAUCCGUUCUCUCUUUUCAAUGCUUGUCGUUUCCGUUGUUGCGAAGGUUCGCGAGUGUGUUGGAAGUGGUUCUGAAGACUAAUUGAAGACUGAUUAUUGCAAGGCAAGUCACACAGAUCCCAAACAUGAUUCCUUUGAGCAUGUUGAUCCUAUAUUUAAAUUCUCUAUUUAUUUCAACAAUGCAUUUAUUUUCGAAUGUCACCGGGUGGUGUGAA